GAGAUUGAAACAUGCCUUUGAAAAGUUCAAUGAAUCUCAAAGAUCUAGGAGUUUCAAAACCAAUUAAAACCUAAUAAUACAUUUCGUUUAUCUUGGUGGAAAUUGGUGAAUCGUCAUUCACCUACCUUCAAAUAUUUUAUAGCUUGGAUUACGGCAUACCUCUUCUAAGUUAUAAAAUAGUUUGUUGGGUCCUAGCCUUAAUAUUUCAUAUUGGGUGUCAUAUUAAGGACUUUAAAUCAACUAUCUUGAAUAUCUCCCAAAAGAUGUCUGGUUUAGACACCUAUGAUCUUCCCAAAUCUCUUGAAACAAGGUUUCCUAAUGAAGAUGAUGUCCCAUGGAUAUCAUACUUCUUCACCUCUUCAAAUUAUUCUCCCUAACCCACAAGUUCUUGAAAAGUUUAAGGUCACUCAGGCCCUAUUGGCAAGGCAAGGUCUAGGUGUGAUCACAUCUUGGAGAUGUAGUCACAUAUUGACAAGCCGGGAGAGUUGGGUGUCAAAGUCUUGAGAAAGUUGGUGGCUCAACUACUUUCUAAGUCUCAUAGUGAGUUCCUUUGGGACUCCUAUGAAAUAGAAUAUGACAAGACCCUUAAUGAUCUUAUCUAUUUGCUAAGAUCAACUUUCUAAAACUUUAUGGACAUUGAUAGUGAUGACAUUGGAUAUCCAGUAAAGCAUUCUCUUCCCAAUGGAAAGGGAUCGGCUAUAGUCAACUCGGUUGACCAAAUGGUAAAGAGAAAAGCUAAGUCUGUGAUAGUCCUGUGUACCAUUAUCAAAGGGUCCAUAUGUUUGUAUUGCCAAAGAAAGGGCAUUGGUUGCGAAGCUGCCAAAUUUACCUAAGGAUGUUAAAGUCAAUAAGUUUGACUCUACUUCAGGUAAAAUCCACUAUCUAACUCUGUUAAGUUUCUAUUCUGAGAUUCUUGAUACAUGAUGUGACUGGGUCACAUGGUGAUGUUUUAAGAAUCAAAGAAAAGUGAAGAAACUUAAAGAAAGAAUAUGCUGAAUCUGAUGGCGUAGAUGGAUUUCUAUCGCAUAGUUUGAAGAUCGGAUUCUUGAGCUACUUCUUAGGAGUUAUGAGAUAUUGCUUAGGAAUAGAUAACAACAAGUUUUCAUAUGGAUUGUAAGGAUAAGUUUUUCCGCAAAGUUUUAAAAUAAAAGAAAUUUUUUUUGAUUUUAUUUAUUUUAAAAUAUCCUUACAAUGGCAUUUGAGGAAAAAUUGUUGCUUAUAUGAUUCCAUUAAGAGCAAGAGUGGAAAUAUGAAAUUGAUUCUUUCAUUUGUGGUAAUGUCUAAAUUUACCAAAUAAGGAAAGAUUCUCAUCACCCAAGUUUCAAUUGGACCGGAACUUGGAAUCAUGCAAGUUGUAUAGCAUGAUGAAUGAGAACUUUCAAGUUUUGGAAAAUUAAGACUAAUUACUUGUUCACAUGGAUGUGUGAGUCAAGUAAAGGACUUAGGGAUCGAGUACACAUUCUUGUGCACUGAUUAAGUCCACCACUAAAGAUCGAUAAGAAGAAUCAAAUAAGGCAGAAGGAUAAAAGUUUCUCAAAUCUGAAAAGAUGGGAGAGUACUUUAGUAUCAGUUUUGUGAUCAUCUUAAUGAUUAAGAAACCAUAUCAAAAUUAGUUCUCUAAGGAAAUCUUAGUGCAUUCUUAUGACUAAGAAGAGGAACUUGAAUUGUUGAAAUGGUUAAAUCAAGAAGAUGAGUCAUACUUCGUUCCAAUACAAGUCUUAGAGUCAUACUCCAAGAUUGUCAUUUGAGUGACAUGUCUUAAAGAAGGUUUAAAACACUUGUCAAAUGUAAGAGUAAAAGUUUUCUACUCUUGUACAUUUGAAAUUGGUAAGUUGUGAUGUUUUGGAUAAAACAAAGACCAACUUAGGCCAAUUGGGUAAAGUGUUUUUCUUGAUUAGAAUCCGCACUAUCUCUUGGAUGUUUGACAAGGGAGUCUUAUAUGUCAAGAGGACAGUGGGAGUCUUAAAGGUCUUGAAAGUCUCAAGAAAUAAUCAAGAAUAAAACCUAAAGUUCUUCACUAGCACACGACUUGAGGUUCAUAACCUAUCGUGUUGACAUAUUCUGUGCCCAUUCCAGUUAAAGUUGGUUUUGCAUAUGAGUUCUUAGAGUUCUCAAUUUGUUGCACAACAACUUGGAAGCAAUGGCAGGCCCUUGAGCUGCCAGGUGGCAAGAAGUUAAGAUUGAGUUCAAUCCAUAUGGUUUUGGAUUUGUCAUUAUCUUUGUCUUGUGAUUAUGGUUUGACAAAUUCAUAUGGGUAGGAACUCAUACACCAUAUAAAUCUAAGUGUCAUAAGGUUUCUCUCCGAUUCAUGAAAAUGAUGGUGAGGAAACGCUUUCACUAAGUAGAUUUUACGAAGAUAUCAAUUGUGUUAUUUGCAUUUUCAAAAGUCGUUAGUGGAGCGCGUGUGGUUAACCGGCACACUAACAUGGACUUGUGAGAAAUGGCAAAUGCCUAAGCAAUUGAGACCAUGAUUACGGUAUCCCUUUUCAUGGUUCUUGAAAUUGCUUAGACACACAGGUGAGCUAUCUACGGAAAGGGUGUAUGAAUCUAAAUUUCAGACUGUCCAGCUGAUUUCUGAGUACAUGUCAAAGCUAGUGGGAGCAUAAGUGUUAUGCUAAUAAUCAUCAUGUUAGUGGGAGCAUGAUAAUUAUGAUAAGUAUUGCAAGUUAGCAAUGUUAAUUAUAGAAAACAAAAGUUUCAAUUGGGAAAAAGUUGUUUUGCUAUAAUUAAGGGAGAGGAAAUUAUGCUUCAUCUCAAAUCUAUAAGCUUAGAUCGUGAGGUUUUAAUCAUUUAGUCAAGGAUAUAUAUGAAUUUCAUGUUGGAAUGGCUCAACAUAAGGAAAUUCUGUAUAUGGGUCCAUUAUUUGCGUUCUAAAAUUCGAUUAUGAUUACGGCAUCCCUUUUCAUAAUCUGAAUUAUGAGAACUUGGCAAAUUGAAAUGGAAAUAUUAUAGCAAAAGACUGGUUUAGUCUUUAUGUAAGACAUCAUGAAUCGUGUCCCAUAUGCUUCGGAUAUAGGAUCGAUUACAUGUGCUAUAUUCAUCCGUUCUAAAAUUUUCCAAAUGCCUGGGGCAUUAAGAAGGGAAAAGGUUUAGAACUGGAUAUGACUAAAAGGAUUAAACAAUUGUCGAGGACAAUCUAAGGUUUACCAAAGAUUGGUUACUCAAGGACAAUUGGAAGUAUAGUGAUAAUUCUGGAAGGACCAUAUUGACAUAAUCUGUAAGGAGGCAACUCUUGUUCAGAAGUGAUAGUCAAAAUGGAAUCUGGAAAUGUUUCAAAGUUAGAAUUUUCAAUCUGUGUAAGAUUAAGGAAACUUAAUGCAAGAAGGAUAUUUCCAAGGAGUUGAUCUCCUUUGGAAUACUCUGUAAUGAUUGUUGCCAAGUCUUUGUGACUUUGUGCAUAAUCAUUACAAGAGGAUCAAUGCAUAUAAGUUUAGAAUCUAACAGAUUUCAGUAAAUGGCAUGAAUUUGGAAUUCUUGCAUUUGCAGUAAGGAUUUGGGAGUGUGAAAAGAGAAUCAUUGAAGUUAUGUUCAAUUGAUCUAGUUCACAAAGUAAAGAUCAUAGACAAACAUAGUAUGCAUACUUGGUGUGUGGCAUGACUAGUGUUUAAGAAAACAUAGUGUACAUGCUUGGAGCAUGGGACAACUAUUGUUUUAAAUUCAAGAAUAAAGUUGAUAGCUGAAACAGUAUACAAUGAAUAAUGUGUAAUCAUAUGGUGAUAAAUAAAAGGUGUUUUAUUUAUGUUCAAAGGGUUGAUACCAUAUUGGAUUCAAUUAUUAUUGUGUUUCAUUUUGCAUGUUUUGACUUCCCGAAUAAACUGGGUUAUUCUUCCGGAAUGACUAAGUUAUUCAAACCAUCCACAGUCGGUCAUAUGUUGGAAGUAGAUAUGAAUUAAGACUGUCAUGGGUUGGCUUGUAGAGGUCUAAGGUGUUGGACAAAGGGCUACAACACUCAUGAGUGCUCAUAAGUUCUGAGUAUUGGAUUCAACCCGCGCUCAUUGGAAUCACUUCAUGGAUUUUAUCACGAGUGAUCAUGAGACGAUAAUAUCUUAUAUUCUUCAAACCUAGAGAUAUGAGUUGUUACUAUGAGUUGAUAGUACAUUGAUUGCACGAAAACGCAUUUGGUAACUCGGUGCUAUAAAACGUGCCUUUGUGUAUGAUUCAACAAGUAGUAGAACAAGCCAUAUGAGUCGAAGUUUAUCCAUUCCUUUUACCUUCGGGAUAAAAGCGAUAUCUGUGGGCCCCUCGAUGAUUUGAUGAUGACAAAUGGAAGUGCUCGGCCGGGCCAGGACUGAUUUGAUUUGUUCAAUUAGUCAGUCGUCAUAAAUCGGAAAUCGGGAAACAACAAAUGGACAGAGAGAAUGAUUAUAAUCCAUGUCUCAGUCCAUAUGAUAUCUAGAAUGGAGGAAUAUAUGAUCCCUUAUCUAAUGGACAAGUCAUUGACAAAGGUCAGAGUUCAUCUACAAGGUCAGAGUUCGACAGAAGCUUUUGAGAGCUACGAUUGCCAGUUGGUUCCUGAAGUCAUACGCAAUAAUAGUUUUAGACUUAUCCAAGUGGGAGACUGUUGGAUUAAUGUCUAAGUCCAUAACUAUAAUUGGUAAGACUUGACCCGACCCGGCAUGGUCCAUUUGGGUUGCAUGGCAUCAUGCACUUGGAUAGACUAUAAUGAGAGAAAUAAGACACUUAUGGUUAUUAAUAUAUUAUAAGUUCUAGUAUAUUAAUAAUAAGAAUAAUAAGAUUAUUUAAUUAGUAUUGAUCAAGAAUUAAUCUAGGAUUAAUUAAGUGAUCAAAAGAAGACUAAUUAAAUAUAUGGGUUGAUUGUGUAAAUCAUCCAUACUUGUAUAGUGGGCUAAUGCUCCAUGGAUAAUCAAGUUGGGCUAAAACCCAUAGGAUGGUCCAUGGAUGCUCCAUGAUGUAUUUGAACCCAUGGAUUCAAGGAAAUGGAAAGUCAUGACGAUUAGGGUUUACCCUAAUUGUAACACUAUAUAAAGAUCUUAUUCUUGACCAAAAUCGGCACUAGAGUGUGUAAAAAUAAGGGAUAGCUGAUUUCAUGAGUUGUGGAUUUCUCUCAAGUUAUUGCAAGUGUAUUUGGUGUUGUGUGAACCAUUUGAGGUGUCACACUUGGGGCACUAGGCACUCAAGCUUCAUGAAGACUUUCUACAUCAAAGAGGUAUGUAUUCUAUCUUGUUAUAUUGAUAGUUUUAUAUGCUAGAUUAGGAUAAUACCUUGGAUGUUCAUAUUUGCAUGUAUAAUAGAGAAAAACAUAGAUCCAAGGUAUUUAGGGUUGCAUGUACACUUAGGAGUGUUAGAAUGCUCAUAACCCAACAGGUUGUUCAAGACUUUCUUGAAUACUAUCAUGAAUUCUCUCAACCUCAGUACCUAACCUGAAGUAACAAGAAGAUCACAACAGUUAAGGUGCUAAAGCCUACUGCAACAGGGAAGUUCAUUAAUAUCAAGCUCAAAGUGACCCGAGGAUCAGAUGGUUCGGUCCAUACAGUCUCGCUUGCUGAUUUGCCAAAUCUGAAUCCACACGAUUGGAUUCUCCUGAACAACAUUCUACUUUCCAAUCAGAAGGAAUAUGAGCCAAUCAUUGAUCACAUCAAGUGUAUGCUAGUGUGUUACAUUCAUGAAGUGGCAAAGAUGGAUCAGGAGAUUGUCGCUGCUAUACGCAAGAGGCCCUUAAUCAAGCCAAUUGGGAAGCCAGGCGACGCUAAGCUGAUGGCGAAGGGAAAAAUUGAUCCACAGUCUCACACCGUCAUGUUUCUUAGAGGCGAAGGUCAAAGGUGCUUAUUUUCUCUAGCUGACAAACAUCUAUUCUCCAAUUCCUACUUAGAGCACAUUCUUGAGCUUAUCCAUGGGUGUGAUCAAAACAGUGAGACAGACAAGAAGUUGUUCUCAGACAAGCUUCAGUGGUAUACGGUUUUUAGAUAGACUCUUCUUGCCAUUAUUCCAAGACCGUUCAAGGUUGUGAAGCGAACUCCUCACCCUCCACGAAGUGAAGUCUCGCCCCAAUUGAAGCAAAGGGGGGGAUUGUUGGGUCCUGAAGUGUUGCGUCUUUGGGAUCGGUCCUUAGCCUAGUUUUGUUAUCCGGUUUGGGCCUAUCCAACCGUGUUUAUUUUAUUAGGGUUUAGUAUUUAAGGUGCAUGCAUGCGUCCUUUAUGAGUAUCGCUUUCAUUUAUUAUUCUCAAUAUUGUACUACAAACCAUAGCUCGCCUCUACAGUGGAAGUUCUUUAUCGAGCUCUGCUGAGGCGUGACUACAUUUGAAUCAUUAAGCAUUACUUGAUUCUAUAUCGUGUUUAUUGUGUUUUUUUGUUUUAUUGAUUAACCUGUUGAAGAUCUAAUCGAUCUAAGAGUUUUUCAACUCAUCAGCUCUGAUACCACUGCUGGGUUUUAGUAUACUACAAUAUCCUAUGGUGCACAUACAACCCUAAAUUCUUUGGAUCUAUGUUUCUAUAAUUAUACAUGAAAUAUUGUUUCCAAAGCAUUAAGCCUACAACUCGCAUAUAAUUGACAUAAACAACAUAAAAUACUAGUUAGGAGUUUACCUCUUUAUGUAACUUGUAGAACUUGUUGUAUUUGGCCUUUAAGAGCUUAGCACCCCAAGCGUGAUGCCUCAAAUGGUUCACAACACACCCAAAGAAUAACCUGAGAGAGAUGUUGUGUCACACCCCGAAACCGAUGGUGGAAACGUUCCGAGGUGGAGGACGUCAUGUAAUAUCACAACCAAUGUACAUAGUAAGCAUAAUAAACACAAAACAAUACAUUACAUAGGAUCAUUACAUUUGUUUGAAAGUAAGGUAAUACAUGUUGUAUAUAUACAUUAGUUUAAACAAAAGUAAAGACGUGAAUUCCAUAUGCUCCGUCUUCUGCAAAAGAACAUGAGAUACCUGUCUAAGGAGAACCUGAGAAUACAAGCAGUUUUAAAAAUCAGCAUAAAGCUGGUGAGUUCAUAAGCAAUUUGUUUAUGAAAAAGAACAAGUUUCCUUUACUUUUCUAAAAAAGAUUGUCAACCAAGAAAAUCCCAUAUUUUCUAUCACGUUUGUCGAUUUCUAUAAGAUAAACCCUGAUUAUUACUAUUAUGUUAAGAAAACAUUAGUUAAAAUUUGUGAAUUCCACUCGGUACAAUAGUAGAUAGUUUAAUACGUAAAACUAUAGAUUGAAAACCCUGGGCUACCAUCUAGUACAAUAGCAGGUAGUUUUAAUACAUAAAACUAUAGAUUAAAGGAAGAUAUAAAAUCCGUGAACAAAUUUAUAUUAAUACGUAUUGUGAGUCGUAUAACCAUGCUAAUCUGACCCGAGACCUCCUUGACGUUCUUCAGGCGUCGGACCAUAUCCAGAAUUUGUCACCCCAGGCAUGCCCGCCUAACUAUAGCUAGCAGUUAAGGUGUGGGAUUGUCAGUCCCGAAUAGAUCUAUUCACAAAUUCCAUGCUCUCCUUCCAGGAGACUCUGGUUAUACUUCCAGGGAGGAUUUACUAAUAACCCGAAGGGUUUAAUGAAGACGAAUCUCACAAGCUAGUAAUACAUUAUUCGCGGUGUACUCGGUCGUUAUCAAAUAUCGUAAUCGUUUUGAAACAUAAUAGAAUAUAAACAAUUCAAUACAAAGAAAUUAUCUGGCAUGAUAUUCUAAAUUAAACUUUGAUAAACUGAAUCAGACAUAGUUUAUCUAUCGACUCUGCAUAAAAUCCGAACUCGUAAAACAAGAAGUGAAGAUCCCAAAUUAUUCCCAUAAUAAUUUGAUUGUUUCCUACACUGUAAUUGAAAUCUAUGUAGUUAUAUUCAGAAAAACAUCCCUUACGCUCCGUAUAAUACAAAAGGGGUAAAGAUAUCCAAAAGUUUACCAGAUAUUUAUAGAAUUACAUCAGUUUUAUGUUUAUCAAAACAUUUAUAAAUUGCUUGUAUUCCUCCCCCCUGAAAACAAUGAAAAACACGGAAAAAGGCGUAGGGGUAUGAACUCACCGGUCGAGAAAUGUGUCGGCUAGGAAGCUAAGUGUCAGUUCGAGGCUUGAUUACACGCGAGGUUCCUAUGUAAUAUGAAGAGAUACACAAUUGUACCUAAUUAGACUUUGAACUAAUAGUUAAAUGUGAAUAACACUUCGAGACGCGAAAACACUUCUAUUCAAGUGUUAGGAGUGACUCGGGUGGCAUCUAUGGAUGUGUAUGGCCUAGAUAUGCAGUUUUCUCUUCAAGAGUAAACUCCUAAGGGAUUUUUCUCUUCAAGAGUAAACUCCUAAUGGAUUUUUCGGGUCUAAGACCAUAUUCCCAUGAUUUUACGGCCGUAAACUCAUGGUGGGGGUGUUCUUGAGUGCUUAAUGGUCUUAAAACUCUUGUGGGGUGAUGCUAGGCUUAGAUUUAAGGCAUUGGAAGGGGACUUGAUCAUUAUUUGGACCACUUGAGGAGUUUACGGCUAUAAAAUCUUAUGUACCCAUUCUUAAUGUGUUUUGGUGGUCGUUGGUCAAUCACAAGUGUUUCUAGUCCAAAGUACAAGCUAUAGAAUGAAGUUAGGGCACCAUUUGACCAUGUUAUAGGAGUUUACGGCCCAGGAACCAUUCCUUGGGGGGUUUACAGCCAUGAACUCCUAAAGGGAUGGUUUUUAUCAAGUUGAAGGUCCCUAACACAUUGGAGGAUGGUUCUAGACUUUAUUCCAAGGCUUAGGAGGUGCUUAAGUGGCAUUUUAACACCUAAAAAGGGGUUUACGGCCUAUGAAAGGGUGUUUACGGUCCAAGCAUGCUCUUGGGCCAUAAACUCAUGUUUACGCCUCAAAUGAUAAGUCUUUGGUGUUCUAAGUCCAAUCUUGAAAGCCCCUAAGUCAUAUCUAAGCUCUAAAGGUGAUUUGGAAGGGUUUUGAGGCUCAAAACCCCACUUAUGUGUGUUUGCGGCCUAGGGCUGUUCCAGGGCCGUAAACACAUGUUCUUGGUCCUAUUUCAUGAAUUAAUCACGAAUUUGAAAGCUAAAUGUGUUAUACUAUGAGCUAGGAAGUAUUACAUACCAAUUUGGGACUUGAAAAGGGUGAUUGUGGAUCUAAGAUUGAGUUUUUAGAGAGAGAGUAGAGAGAGUGUGAAAAAGGAUCAAAUGAGGUUCACUCUACUUUAAAUAUGGUUUGAGUUUGAGGCUUGGUGGAAUUCUACCCGAUACCGACGUUAGACGGGGCUUUUGGUCGUACCCGAUUUAGUCAUUGUAACCCGACGUGGUCGAAACUAGAAAUUUUCUAAAUAAACAUUUGGGAUGUUUUCAUGUGUUUCUAACAGGUUUGGAUACUCACGAGGUCAUAGUAAAAAUAUAAAAUUAAAUGACCUAAUCCAAAAUGUUAACGGGAAAAUUGAAAGACAAACGGGUUGUCACAUUAUCCCCCCGUUAGAGGGAAUUUCGUCCCGAAAUUUAGAAUUAAGACACAAUCAUGGGUUUGGAAAGAGAUGCGGAUAUUUCUGUCUUAUCGAGUCUUCACGCUCCCAAGUGAACUCAGUUCCCCACUUGGCAUUCCAGCGAACCUUCACUAUCGGGAUACGACUUUGUUUCGUACUUUUAAUCUCUCGAUCUAUGAUUUUGAUUGGUUCUUCUAUGAAGUUCAGACCUUCGUUGAUCUCAUUCUCAUCAAAAGGGAUUGCUAGGGUUUCAUCGGAUAGGCACUUCUUAGGAUUAUAGACGUGGAAUAAAGGAUGGAAGUUGCUAAGUUCUGAAGGUAGUCAGAGUUUGUAGGCUACGAGAUUGAUCCUAACGAGGAUCUCAAAAAGUCCUAUGUACCUCGGGUUAAGUUUCUCACGCUUUCCAAAGCGUAUCAUGCCUUUCCAGGGCGAGACCUUCAAUAAGACACGAUCUCCUACCUGGAAUUUUAAUGGUUUUCGUCGUUUAUCGGCGUAACUCUUGUGUCUGUUUUGUGAAGCUUUUCGGUUGUUCUCAGAUUUAGAUGAUCUUCUCGGUGGUUUCACAGAUGAUUUCAGUACCAGAGAGGGCACUGUCAGGGAUUCGUCUCUUGGCUAACCGCGUGUCCCCUACCUCGGCCCAACAUAGAGGGGAUCUAUACUUACGACCGUAGAGGGCUUCGAACGGGGCAGCCUUGAUGCUGGUGUGGUAACUAUUGUUAUACGACAAACUCGAUCACGGGUAAAUGGAUGUCCCAUGACUUUCCUAAAUCGAUGAAACAUGCUCCCAGGAUGUUUUCUAGGGUCUGAAUAGUUCUCUCACUCUGUCCAUCUGUCCGAGGAUGAUAAGCUGCACUCAUGUUCAGCUUAGUUCCAAGAGCUUUCUGAAGGGACUGCCAAAACCUUGACGUAAACUUGUUAUCUCGAUCGGAGAUAAUAGACACAGGUACACCGUGCAGUCGGACUAUCUCUUGGAUGUAGACUCGCGUAAGUCUUUCCAUCUUGAAUGAUUCUUUGAUCGGAAUGAAGUGAGCGGAUUUUGUCAAACGAUCGACAAUUACCCCAAAUGAUAUCGUAUCCACUCGGAGAUUUAGGUAACUUGGUGAUGAAAUCCAUGGUAAUCAUCUCCCAUUUCCACUCGGGUAUCUCGGGCUGCUGGAGUAGACCCGAGGGCUUCUGACUGAGUUUCUUGGAUCUGCAUGGAUAAGUGGGAAUGGAUGGUCAUCGUUAAUGUCUUCGCCUUGCGGCUUGAACUCUUCUUUUCGGCUCAGGGUAUCUGCUACCACAUUGGCCUUGCCGGGAUGGUAGCGGAUUUCAAACUCGUAAACACUGAGCAUCUGCACCCAUCGCUGCUGCCCUAUGUUUAAGUCUUUCUGUGUCAGAGUAGUUAAGGGUUUGGCUAUUCUGGAAAUAUUCUGGAUGAACCUGUGAUAGUAGCCAGCGAGACCCAAGAAUUGACGGAUUUCUGUGGGUGUCUUCGUGCUGACCAAUUCUCUAUCGCCUUGAUUUUGAACGGGUACACGGGUAUGCUUUCUUCGCUUACCACGUGACCAAGGAAAGUGGUUAGGCCGAAGGGCAUCACUACAAACUCGUAGUGACCAUAUCGAGUCCUGAAUGCUGUCUUGAAAACAUCAUUCUCAUGAACUCGGAGCUAAUGGUACCCUGAUCUGAGGUCUAUCUUCGAGAAGUAACUAGCUUCCUGAUGUUGAUUGAAAAAGGGUCGUCUAUUCGAGGAAGAGGAUAACGGUUUUUGACUGUCAACUUGUUCAACUUGCGGUAAUCUAUGCACAUCCGAAAGAAUCCAUCUUUCUUCUUCACAACAAUACCGGGGCUCCCUAGGGUGAGGACUUCGGUCUGAUAAUUCCUUUACUAAAUAGCUCACUUAGCUAGCUGGAUAACUCCUGCAUUUCUGCUGGAGCUAAGUGAUAUGGGGACUUGGCUACGGGGGUAGCUCUAGGAAUUAGGUCGAUGCGAAACUCGACUUGACGUUCGGGAGGAAUUCCUUGAAGCUCUUCGGGGAAAGACAUCAGGAAAGUUGUAGACUUCGGGGAUGCUCUCGAGGUCAUUAACUUCUUGUUUCUCAUUGAUUACAUGAGCUAGGAAUGUGUGAUACUCCUUUCACAGAAGCUUUUGAGCUUUGAUGCAAGAAAUGAUAUGAAGAUUUGAACUAAGAUUAUUGCCGUAGAUCAUGAGAGUCCGACCAGAGGGGAGAUUAAGACGGAUGGCUAUUUCGUAACAAAGGAUAUCUGCAUGAUUGGGACUCAACCAAUCCAUGACAAUGAUAAAAUCAAAGCUCUCUAUGGAAACUGACAUUAGGUCGAUGGGAAAGGAAUGAUUGUUCAGGGUAAGGGUACAACUUGGCGUAUUCUUUCUCAUCGUUAGCCAUCUUGAUGGUAAAUGUUUCGUUACUAGACGAGGACUAUGUUUAAGAAGACGCUUGAAUGAAUGACUAAUAAAAUUUCUUUGGCACUAGAUUCGAUAAGGAUGCGAGCAUAAGAAUUGUUCGAGAAGAAACAUACCCGCGAUGACGGUGGGAUCUGCGGCUGCCUCCUCCUACUUCAUAGCUAGAACUAUCCCUGCGUUGUUGGUGGUUGCUGCUUUGGGGCAGUUUCACUUGAAAUGCCCUACUUCUCCACAACCAUAGCAUACUUGAUCGGUACUUGAUCCGGAAGCUUGAUAGGUUGGCUGAGUUGGUGUUUUGCAGUUUCGCGCAAGGUGGUCCUUCUUGCCACAACUGUUGCAGAGCUUUUCACGACAUGGGUCGGGGAUAUGAUGGUGGUAACUGCACCGAUUGCACUAAGGGAGGUUACCAGCAUACCUAGUGGUAGGCUCUUGAGUUGUAGGAGCAGCGAUAGGAAUAGUAGCAGCUUGAACUGCCACCGUGUUGUGCUUCUUGGAGGGUCCUUGUGAACUCUGACGCUUUCGCUUUUUCCAUAAAACCUUCUUACUCUCAUUACGCUCAUUCUGGUGCUCUUGAUCAUCUUCAUGGUUUUGGGGAUAGGCAUUACUUCCUGGUCCACUGGACCUGCUAGGGUUCAAAAGCACCAUUGUAGCCGCCACAGCAGCUGUAACAACUGCCUGAACUAGGACAGGGUCAAAUUGAGAAGGAUACGGUGGCGGAGAGUUGUUGUUCCUUGAGUUGGGUCCUUUCUUUGGAGGCAUGAUAAUCUAGAAUGAUUAGGAAAGAGAGGAUGGUAAGUCCUGUGAAUUGAAAUAUGAGAUACGAAACAAGAGAUAUCUCAUUAUGACAGAUAAAGGGUUCUAUAAGCGAUAAGCAAGAAAGAGUUAUCAAAGCAGAUAAACUAUCGCUAAAGAAGGAACGAGUAGCAAUACUCGUAAUGAAUUUCUACUCCCAUAAUAUUUUAUGUUUCGCUGCGACGACGACUCAUUGUUUGAGUAUUGGGUAAGUUUUAGGCAUGUUGAACACCAUAGUCACUCCCAAGCACAUGUUGGCCGUGUCUCGAAUAAAUAUAGUUGAUCAGGAUAUAUUGAUCCUAGACACGACUACAUAACUGUCCAGGUUUAACCGCAGUGUACAACACCCAUUUACUUAUGUUUUGUUCUACUCGAGGUUACGGGUUACGACGAUUAGGUAUACUUGUAUAUUUUUGAAAAAUACUUAUAUUUUAAAGUAUACUUUUAGUUCAGAGCACUUCGGCCCCUUAGUGUUUAUAGUCUUAUACCAUGUAAGGUUUGGUAUACUAGUUCACUAUAAACAAGGACUCUGAUACCAAUCUGUCACACCCCGAAACCGACGGCGGAAACAUUCCGGGGCGGAGGACGUCAUGUAAUAUCGCAACCAAUGUACAUAGUAAGCAUAGUAAACACAAAACAAUACAUUACAUAGGAUCAUUACAUUUUUUUGAAAGUAAGGUAAUACAUGUUUUAUAGAUACAUCAGUUUAAACAAAAGUAAAGAUGUGAAUUCCAUACGCUCCGUCAUCUGCAAAAGAACGCGAGAUACCUGUCUAAGGAGAACCUAAGAAUACAAGAAGUUUUAAAAAUUAGCAUAAAGCUGGUGAGUUCAUAAGCAAUUUGUUUAUGAAAAAUAACAGGUUUCCUUUACUUUUCUGAAAAAGAUUGUUAACCAAGAAAAUCCCAUAUUUCUAUCACGCUUGUCGAUUUCUAUAAGAUAAACCCUGAUUAUUACUAGUAUGUUAAGAAAACAUAAGUUAAAAUUUGUGAAUUCCACUCGGUACAAUAGUAGAUAGUUUAAUACAUAAAACUAUAGAUUAAAAACCCCAGAAUACCAUCCAAUAGAACAGUAGGUAGUUUUAAUACAUAAAACUAUAGAUUAAAGGAAGAUAUAAAAUCCGUGAACAAAUUUAUAUUAAUACGCAUUGUGAGUUGUAUAACCAUGCUAAUCUGACCCGAGACCUCCUUGACGUUCUUCAGGCGUCGGACGAUAAUCCAUAAUUUGUCACCCCAGGCGUGCCCGCCUAACUGUAGCUAGCAGUUAAGGUGUGGGAUUGUCAGUCCCGAAUAGAUCUAUUCACAAAUUCCACGCUCUCCCUCCAGGAGACUCAGGUUAUACUUCCGGGGAGGAUUUACUAAUAACCCGAAGGGUUUAAUGAAGACAAAUCUCACAAGCUAGUAUUACAUUAUUCACGGUGUACUCGGUCGUUAUCAAAUAUCAUAAUCGUUUUGAAACAUAAUAGAAUAUAAACAAUUGAAUACAAAGAAAUUAUCUGGCAUGAUAUUCUAAAUUAAACUUAGAUAAACUGAAUCAGACAUAGUUUAUCUAUCGACUCUGCAUAACAUCCGAACUCGUAAAACAAGAAAUCAAGAUCCCAAAUUAUUCCCAUACUAAUUUGAUUGUUUUGAUUGUUUCCUACACUGUAAUUGAAAUCUAUGUAGUUAUAUUCAGAAAAACAUCCCUUAUGCUCCGUAUAAUACAAAAGGGGUAAAGAUAUCCAAAAGUUUGCCAGAUAUUUAUAGAAUUACAUCAGUUUUAUGUUUAUCAAAACAUUUAUAAUUUGCUUGUAUUCCCCCCAGAAAACAUUGAAAAACACGGAAAAAGGCGUAGGGGUAUGAACUCACCGGUCGAGAAAUGUGUCGGCUAGGAAGCUAAGUGUCAGUUCGAGGCUUGAUUACACGCGAGGUUCCUAUGUAAUAUGAAGAGAUACACAAUUGUACCUAAUUAGACUUUGAGCUAAUAGUUAAACAUGAAUAACACUUCGAGACGCGAAAACACUUCUAUUCAAGUGUUAGGAGUGACCCGGGUGGCAUCUACGGAUGUGUAUGGCCUAGAUAUGGAGUUUGCUCUUCAAGAGUAAACUCCUAAGGGAUUUUUCGGUCCUAAGACCAUAUUCCCAUGAGUUUACGGCCGUAAACUCAUGGUGGGGGUGUUCUUGAGUGCUUAAUGGUCUUAAAACUCUUGUGGGGUGAUGCUAGGCUUAGAUUUAAGGCAUUGAAAGGGGACUUGAUCAUUAUUUGGACCACUUGAGGAGUUUACGGCAGUAAACUAGGAGUUUACGGCUGUAAACUCUUAUGUACCCAUUCUUAAUGUGUUUUGGUGGUCCUUGGUCAAUCACAAGUGUUUCUAGUCCAAAGUACAAGCUAUAGGAUGAAGUUAGGGCACCAUUUGACCAUGUUAUAGGAGUUUACGGCCCAGGAACCAUUCCUUGGGGGGUUUACGGCCGUGAACUCAUAAAGGGAUGGUUUUUAUCAAGUUUAAGGUCCCUAACACAUUGGAGGAUGGUUCUAGACUUUAUUCCAAGGCUUAGGAGGUGCUUAAGUGGCAUUUUAACACCUGAAAAGGGGUUUACGGCCUCUGGAAGGGUGUUUACGGUCCAAGCAUGCUCUUGGGCCAUAAAAUCAUGUUUACCCCUCAAAUGAUAAGUCUUUGGUGUUCUAAGUCCAAUCUUGAAAGCCCCUAAGUCAUAUCUAAGCUCUAAAGGUGAUUUGGUAGGGUUUUGAGGCUCAAAAACCCCACUUAUGUAUGUUUGCGGCCUAGGGCUGUUCCAGGGUUGUAAACACAUGUUCUUGGUCCUAUUUCAUGAAUUAAACACGAAUUUGAAAGCUAAAUAUGUUAUACUAUGAGCUAGGAAGGAUUACAUACCAAUUUGGGACUUGAAAGGGGUGAUUGUGGAUCCAAGAUGGAGUUUUUAGAGAGAUAGUAGAGAGAGAGAGAGAGUGUGAAAAAGGAUCAAAUGAGGUUCAAUCUAAUUUAAAUAUGGUUUGAGUUUGAGGCUUGGUGGAAUUCUACCCGAUACUGACGUUAGACGGGGCUUUUGGUCGUACCCGAUUUAGUCGUUGUAACUCGACGUGGUCGAAACUUGAAAUUUUCUAAAUAAACAUUUAGGAUGUUUUCAUGUGUUUCUAACAGGUUUGGAUACUCAUGAGGUCAUAAUAAAAGUCUUAAAUUAAAUGACCUAAUCCAAAAUGUUAACGGGAAAAUUGAAAGACAAAUGGGUUUUACUGACGGGAAUGUGUUACAGCGAUGGAACAAUUUAUGGGUUGUCACAUGUUGCUAGCUCCAAAAUCUUCUCUAAUGAACUCCAAGAACUCUAUUGUCUGAUUUUGGGUGCUAAGAGAGUCCUUUUAUAGUGUGGCAAAGUCUACGGUUACAUCCAUGCAAACCCUAAUUCCCAUGACCUUUCAUAUUACUUAGGCUCCAUGGGUUAAACCUCCUUGGACUACCAUAUUGGUUUAGAGAGUCCUUUUAUAGUGUGUCAAAGUCUAGGGUUACAUCCAUGCAAACCCUAAUGCCCAUGAACUUUCAUAUUACUUUGGCUCCAUGGGUUAAACCUCCAUGGACUACCAUAUUGGUUUAGCCAUCCUGAAUAACAAUUGGCCCAUACUAUAAGAAUCAUUGAUUUACCAAACCAAUCCCCAUAUAUUUAAUUAGUCUCUUUUGAUCACAUAAUUAAUUCCAAAUUAAUUCUUGAUCAAUACUAAUUAAAUAAUAUGGUUUUAUAUUAAUAUAUUAUAACUUAUAAUAUAUUAAUAAAUCAUAAGUAACCUCUUACUUAAGUAUCCAUCCUAUCAAAUUGUCCUGGUGAUAUGCAACCCGAAAUGGACCAUGCCACUCUUGGGUCAAGUACAUACGAAUUAUUGUUAUAGGCUUAGAUACAUAAUCCAACAGUACCUAGUACACUAGGGGCAAUAUCGUCUUUUAAAUUCAUAGCGCCUAAUAUCAAUAGGAUAAGUCCGAUCAUUUUCUUCGUCAUGUCAAAAACACCCAAGAACAAAGAUCACCUUUGAAAAACCCUAAAAUCUAAGCACUGGCGAGGAUGGUUAAAUGGCAUAUUAGAGCCGAUAUGGAUGAAAUCGACCUUGAUCCAACAUAUGAUAACCAACUUAUUUUGUUCAUUACAUCUAUUUUAACCAGCAAUGUAAGAGAAGAAAGCUUAUAAUUUUGUUUCUCUACAGGUGCAAAUCCGACAUUGUUCUUCAUCAAGUUGCACUAUGGUGGACAAUUCAUAAUGUUUCUACGCAGAAAAUACAUCAAGGGCAAAGUCAAAUAUAUUGAUUUGCUGGAUAUGGAUAAAUUUUUUGUUCAUGACAUCGAUGAAAUAAUGGAGUCACUUAACUGUAUUAAUGAGGGUAAGUUGUUAUAUUAUCACUUCAAAAAACCAUUUUCAGAUUUGGACGUUGGUUUGUAUGCCUUAACUAGUGACAAUGAUAUUAACCAUUUGAGCACAUUCGUAGGUAAGCAUAAACUGAUUGAUGUUUAUACUGAGCAUGGCCAAGCUAUGUUACACACAUAUUUUGUGUCCCCCAACCCAAAUAGAAUUAGGAUACACGAAAUUGUUGAACCCCUCGUCUUGUAGAAGGCUUUUGUUGGAAUAGAAGGAUUAAAAAAAAAUAGGGGAUUGUAGUGAAGGGGAUAAUAUACAUUUUAAAACAAGGGAUGAUACUCAAGCGGGUAAUGAUCAAAUUUAAAAAGGUUAUAGUAGUGAAAUGGGUAAAGAUCAUGUCUAAACACCAACUGUUACGAGUAAUGAAGUUGAUAAAACACCCAAUUAUUAUCAAUUCUGAAUAUGGGGUUUUAUUGAAGGAGAAGAUGAUUAAUUUCAAACACCACCUGCUACAGUUAAGGGAGUUGAAACACCCCCUUUUACAACUACUGAUUAUUUGAAUAUGGAAGACUUUAUUGAUAAGGUUCAAACACCACCUGAAGUUCAAUUUCAAGAAGCUCUUUUUAAUUUUGAUAAUAAUGGACCUGGUGGGUAAGAAGGCAUUGAAAGUGAAGACAGUGGAGGGUAUAGUGAGGAAUUAUCUGACAAUGAUGAUAGUGACAUUAUAUUUGAUGAGGAUAACAGAGUAGAUGAGCAUGAGGUAGAUAUGAAAGACUUUUUUCUACAUAUUGACAAAGAUGUUAGGGAUAUUGGUGAAAUUGAGGUAUUAAACCAAGAUGUAAUGCCAUAUGAUUCUUCAUCAGAUGAAGGUGGGAGUAAAAAUAUAAAAAAGAAAUAGAAGGCAAUCAGAAGGGCAAAGGAAAAUAGUGAGUCUCGUGUUGGUGAUCUUUUUUAUAUGUACCAGACAUUUGUUUCAUUUGAGGAUUUGAGAUAUAUGAUCAAAAACAUGCAGUAGAGACAAGAAGUGAAAUUGUUCUAAUCAAGUAUGACAAAAGUAGGAUAAGGGCUAUGCAAAGGCACUAUACCAGAUCUUGGUGUUCGGGAUCAACAGGAAGAUAAAUGUACUUGGAACCUAUAUGCUAGAAAUAGAAACCUUAUGCGGACCGGGAGGUUAGGACAUAUGUGAAAGAGGAUAGAUGCCUACAAACUAGGAAUGUGAACGCUUGUACAUAAAAGUUUUUGCCAAAAGAUAUUGUACACCGAUUUGAAUGUAACCCCGUUGUUCCUACGAGAGCUUUACAUGAAGAACUACAACGUGAAAACCAAUUAGACCUUUCAAAGAUGAAAGUUUUUAGGGCUAAGAUAGAGGCCUUCAAGCAUGUCAUGGGAGGUUAUGCAGGCCAAUACGUUGUACUUAGAGACUGUGUUUUCGAACUUCAAACUCGUAACACUGACACCACAAUCAAGAUCUAAGUGCAAAGUGAACCAAAUCAUGCUUCUAAAACAAGAAUUUUAAAAAGUAUCUACAUAUGCCUUGGAUCACUGAAGAAAGUUUUUCUAGUUGGUAAAAGAGAUUAUCUUAGUUUGGAUGGACCUUUUAUGAAAGGGCCUUAUCCAGGGAUGAUCCUCACUGUAGUGGUAAGGAUUCUUUCAUUUUGUUAAUGAUAAAAUAUUAAUUUUUAUAAUUUACUAACUUGUUAAACUUGUUUCGGGUCUUGGUGGAAAUAGUUGUACAUAUCCCUUGGUAUUUUUUGUGGUUGAAAUGAGAAUAUUAACUGAUGAACUUGAUUUUUAAGUUGUUUACAUGAUGACAACAACUUAAAUAAGAAUUCAAACUUUGCCUUUAUAUCAGAUAGACAGAAGGUACUUACUUUUAAGUUGUUUACUAUUUUUAACUUUGUUUGUUUAUUCAACAUGAUGAUAAUAAUAAUAUUAUUUGAUUUGGUAGGGGAUGUUGCAAUCAGUUGCUACUAUAUUUCCCUGUACAGAACAUAGGUUUUGUCUACGUCACAUACAUGAAAAAUAUGAAGGUUAAGUUGAUGGGUAAGGUCUUUAAGGAUGCAUUAUGGAAUUGUGUUGUUGUAACCAUAGUUCAAGAAUAUAACAAUGCAAUGGACGAGUUGAAGGAUAUGAAUAAUGAUUGUUACAAGUGGCUUAAAGUUAUUCCAUAUGAGCAUUGGACUAGGUUUCACUUUACAGAUUAGUGGUUAUUUUUUUGCAUAAUAUAAAUGAAAUUUGUGUUAUUACUUUGUAAAUUAUUUUGCAAGUAGGGCUCAUUGUGAUGGUCUUUUGAUCUAUGUGAGACCAUUAACAAUCAACUAAAAGAGGGUUAUAACCAACCAAUCAUCAGUUGUCUUGAAUUCAUUAGAGAAUACUUGAUGUUAAGGAUUGUGACUGUGCAUAAAGAAAUUGAUAAGGAAGUUGGACCUAUGAAUCCAACUGUUACACUGGUAUUAGAAAAAAAAGAGAUGGAACACAUUAUAAGGAUGUUUUCUAUGGGAAUGAUAAGUAUCAAGUCAUAGGUCUAUAAAUGGACCAAUGUGUGGUGGACAUGAACAACCACACAUGCUCAUACUGGAAAUGGGAACUUACAGGUAUACCUUAUAAACAUGCAUUAGUAGAAAUUUUGGACAUGAUAAAAGACAAGAUAAAUAUUAGUUUACCUCAGUCAUGGGUGCAUCCCACUUACUGGUUAAGUACAUGGAAGGAGAUGUAUUCCUUCAAGAUUGAGGCUAUCAAUGGAAUAACAAUGUAGGUAAGGUAUCCUUGUCCUACAACAUCACUUCUUCCCAAGCACCAUGUGCCUAUUGGUAGACCUAAGAAAAAAAGAAGGAAGUAUGUGGUUGAAUGGGAUGAAGUGGUGAAGGGUGGUAGGGCUUUAAGGAAAGAGAAGUAUUUGACAUGCUCAAAAUGCAAAAAUAUUAGUCCUAACAAAAGGAGUUGCAAAGGUGAAGUAGAUGAGAAGAAAGGAAAGAAGCAUGGUGGAGGUAAUGGUGCAGGUCCAAGUAAGAAAAGUGGGGCUUGGAGGAAAGGAAAGAAGAAUGGUGGAGGUAAUGGUUCAGGUCCAAGCAAGCAAGGUGGGGCUAGAAAGAAGGGAAAGAAGGUCGUUUGAAAUGUCUUCUACUAGAUUAUGUAUUUUUGUAGCCUGAUGUAAUGGCUUUUUAAAUUAUGUUAUUGUGUUGAUCUUCAGUUAACAUUGUGAUAAUCUUUUGAUAACAUUGUGAUGAUCUUUUGUUAACUCUAAGAUGUUUUAAACAUUGUAGUGAUGUUUUGAUAACAUUAUGAUGAUCUUUUGUUAACUCUAAGAUGUUUUGAUCAUUGUAGUGAUCUUUGGAGAACAUUGUGAUGAUCUUUUGUUAACUGUGGGGUUUUCUUUUGUUAACUCUAAGAUGUUUUAAACAAUGUGGUGAUCUUUUGAUAACAUUUUGAUGAUCUUUUGUUAACUAUGGGAUGUUUUAAACAUUCCAUUCCAAUCCAGUUACAUUCCAAUUGCAUUAACAAAAACCUAAAAACAUGUUAAUUCCAUUCAGUAUCAUGUGCAUUCCAUUCCUUUGAAGUUACAUACUAAUAUAAUAGACGAUAACCUUAAAACAACUUCAUUCCAUUCCAAAUCAAUUGCAUUCCAUUCCAUUAGAGAUACAUCCAAUAGGAAAUACAAAAAACCAAAAAAUAACGUUUGGAACUGAUUACAUAACUUCCGAUAAGUAAACUACAUUCCAUUCCAAAACAAUUACAUUACAAUUUCUAAAUUACAGUAGCUACAAAGAAAACCCAACUUAGUAGUAGCUGUAACCUCAAUUUCUUGAUUUGAUUUUGAAGCUCAUUUGUACUUUUGGCAUGAACAUAUCUAUCUUCAUCAACCCAACAUACAAAACCACAUCGUGGUCCCUGCAAUUUCAAUAAUUUCGAGAGAGAUUAAGUGUAUAGAUGAAAAUAGUGACUUAUCAAAAAAUACCUUCCCAGUACGACAAUAAAAUAGCUCUCCAGGGUUUUUUCUUUGUCCUUGAGGUGCAUAUAACAAUAGGAUGACCAUAAUCACAAGUAUUUGCCAUUACGUGUACUUCUCAAAUGGUGGAAGUUGCAGAGAAGAAGAAGAGAAUGAGAAAGAGAUGGGUUUUGUCAAUUACAUAUACUAACGUUCUUAUAGGGUUUUGAAUUAAAAAUACGAGAUUGGCCCUAGCGUUCCCAGCAUGUGGGCUCUUUUAACAAGGAUGGCUAACGAGAUAUUCACGAAGGGACCAAACAUGUAAAAAAAUCAAAUAUUAAGGAUGCCCAACGUUCAAAACAAAAGAUAGGACCAAACGAGAAAUUUGUGCAAACCACAUGGACCAUUUCAGUAAUUUGUUCUUAAAAAAUCGAAAUUUUUAGUUUAGAUUCAUAUUUUUUGGUACAAGUUUUUUGUCAAUAAUUUUAUUUUUCUUUUUUUAAAACCCAAAGUUCUUAAAAUUUAUCUUUGCACAAAAUAGGUAUAGUCAUGAUUUUUUUUUACUUGCAUAAAAACCCAAAAAAAAAAAUCCAAAAAUGAUAAAAAAAUCAAGAGAUAGUUUUACUCAUUAUACUAUUGACUUUAUAAAAAAACUUUACUAAAAUCAGUUUUUAAAGUGCUAAUAUUUUACUUUUUAAAAAAUGUAAUUCUAAUAAAAUCCAACGAAAUUUUUUUAUCCAAAAUAAAAAAUUCAAAUGAUAGAGGUCUUCGUAAUAAUAUUUUAGGGAGUUUGUAUGUAACGUCCCAAAUUUCAAGCCAAAAUUUUCUUUCAAAAUAAAAACAUUCGUUCCGAUUACAACCUCAAAGACGUAAAUAAAACCAUUUAAUUCAAAACGAAAUUUUUUUAUCCAAAAUAAAAAAUUCAAAUGAUAGAGGUCUUCGUAAUAAUAUUUUAGGGAGUUUGUAUGUAACGUCCCAAAUUUCAAGCCAAAAUUUUCAUUCAAAAUAAAAACAUUCGUUCCGAUUACAACCUCAAAGACGUAAAUAAAACCAUUUGAUUCAAAACAUUUAUCAGAGUAUUGACAAUAUGUUAUUAAGUGUGAAAUCUCCAAUGGAUGCGAUGCAACUGAUCCACACCCUUCCUUUAAUAUAAAAUAAUAUGAAACAAUUUAAACGUAAAACAGUAAGCACAAAUCUUAGUAAGUUCCUCAGAAUAACACAUACAAUACUUAAGAUUGGGUCCUGCGUAACGGGCCCCGUCCAACUUAACGGUGACGGGUUUUGAUACAAAUAUAAGUUAGUUUUUCAUAAAACCGGUCCACAGAAGUGUUAAAAAUAAUAAUUUUAUUUUUAGUUUAUAACAAAACCAAACCAUCAAUGAUCCAUUUAUAGAGGUUAGAAUGAAAUAAAAACAACCAAAUAGUUUUUACAAUGACAACCUUUGAAGCUUUUGAACCCACUUGGUUUUGGAGUGUUGAUGAAGAUAACAAAAGUUAGAGAUUAUGAUUUCUCUAUGUGUAUCCACCAUCAAGAGUAAGGCACUUUGAAUGCUAGUUCUUCUUGUAUUCUUAAGUUUCUUAAGCCUAUAAGUGCUUAACUCAAAUAAGCACCAAAGGAGACAACUCAAGAAAGCUUUAAUUCUUUACUUUUGUUCAAAAGUAAUGGAGAGAGGAUGGAAGAAGCAAGCUACGGUUUUAAGGGAAGAAGAGAAGGAAAAAUGCAAUUUAACAAUUACCCAAAAUUCAUGUAAGGAACACUCUUUUAUAGUCUCAUGCAAGGUAAGGGCUUUACAUUAAAAUAAUCUAAAGUAAUAGUAGCCUUUAGAAGAAUGAGAGACAUGGUAUUGAGGUUGACAAGCAACCUCCAUUCUUUGAAUAAAAAUUCGACCAUACCUAAUAAAAGAAUAACGAUUCUUCAAUUUUUAUAAACUCAAAGUUUAUAAAAUAUAAACUGUGUCUUUAGGUAAAAGACAAAAGAAUCCAAAUAGUCCAAAAAGGUUGUGAGUGACUUAUUAAUUCAUACCAUGCGAAAUAAUAACUACUUAUACUCUCUUAUAAUUAUUACUUUUAUAAAAUAAUAAUUGUUCCCUAAUUAAAUAUAAGAAUUAAUAUUAUUUAUUAAUAAUCAAAUUAAUAAUAAAUUUGAAAAAUGGGCCAACUUGAUAAAGGUGUGACCCUAUAAGAUUAUACAUUAUUAGCAAUGUCAUUCAAUAAUGAUUCUUGGGCAUAUAGAUUCAACAAUGUGUCAAUUGCACUAGAUUCAUUAUAGACUGAUAUAGACAGUAGCUGAUGUCUAGCAACGAGCUACUGCUCCUAAUAACUUAUGAAGGGUGCCAUCUCAUCAACAACCAAUUCUAGGAGCUCUAAGCUACAAGUGUUACUAAAGGUGUGGUAUCAAUUAUUCAUUUGUCUCAAACAUCAUGUUGAACGUGAGAUAUGGAUCACGAUUAAUAUCUUUUAGUGUUCAAAUUUUAGUAAGGCCUUAGAUGUCAAACUCUCAACGAAUAAGAGGAACAAAUCUCAUCUUGACUAAAUAUGCUCAUUAAUGUAGUUCAUGUCAUACCCAACGAUGGCCCUUAUGACUUCCUUUAAUGGAACAAGAUUAAACCAUGUCAAAGCACCACAAUUCCUACACUUUAAGUUCCAAGAAUGUAUCCCAGGUCUAAGAAUUCAAAGAUACAACCUUGAUCAAAAUGUCAUUCAUGAAUACAAUCCAUAAAAGUGAUUUUGAUGCGGGUCAAGUCCAAUACUUAUUCUCCUAAUCAAGUAUCUACGAAUUUGCUAGCAUAUCUUGCUAUUCUCAUCUCCAUGAGAAUCAAGCAAUCUAAUCAUAUUAGUCUUACCUUAUAGAUGCUCCCACAACUAUGAACGACUAUGUAAAUUUAUAAUAACCUAGUUAGUCAAGGAUUUAAACAUGCUAAUAUAGAAAACAACAAUUAUUCAACGAAAGACUCAUAUCCAAUAUAUCAAUUCAUUACAAUAUAUGUUGCUUGUACUGUUCUAAUAUCCGAAUACUAAAUUUCAAUCAAAUACAUCUACUUAUAUCAACAUGGCCCUAUUGCACCAGCUUGACUUUCACGCUUUAGCUAAUGAAGGAUUUUUGUUAAGUAGAUUUGUAUAAACUUUGCGAGUACAAACAUUUUCAAUUUUACAUAUAUAACUCAUAUGUAUAGAAAAUUAUUGAGAAUGUAUUAGAUGCUUAAAUACGACUUAGAUACCAAUACUUGCAUAACAGGAUUACUCAUUUCCAUAAUGAACUAAUUAUUAAGCAUCUUUGUAUGUGGUUCUCCAAACCACAAUGUAAUCUAACUUUGAUGUGUAACUAUAAUUAAAAUCUACAUGUAAUCACUUUCCAUGUAACUUUAUCUUCAUUCAUAAUGAGGACAUGCCAGAUUGUGAUUGAGAGUAAUAUCAAUCUAUUUUAAAGUUCAACAUAUGUAUAACAACUUAAACAUUGCUUUCUUUCAAAUACUCUGAAGAUUAUGAAUAUUUCUCUAGUUGUUGGAAGCACUAUAGAAUGCUCCUAUAAGUUACACAAUGACUUCUUCUCGGAUUAUAUUGGUGUCAUUGCAUACGCUCCAAGCAUACAAUUUAUUUGGCCUUCAUUCCUAAUCAUGACACAUAUUGUAACAUCCCGUUAUUUUCAUUAUAGUAAAAGUCAAUAUUAGUCAACAAAAGUCAUGUUGGAUUAAUGUCUAAGUCCAUAACUAUAAUUGGUAAGACUUGACCCGACCUGGCAUGGUCCAUUUGGGUUGCAUGGCAUCAUGCAUUUGGAUAGACUAAAAUGAGAGAAAUAACACUUAAGGUUGGUUAAUAUAUUAUAAGUUCUAAUAUAUUAAUAAGGUUAUUUAAUUAGUAUUGAUCAAGAAUUAAUUUGGAAUUAAUUAAGUGAUCAAAAGGAGACUAAUUAAAUAUAUGGGUUGAUUUUGUAAAUCAUUCAUUCUUAUAUAUGUGGGCUUGUGAUCCAAGAUUCCUUAUGUUGGACUAAGUCCAUGGGGUGACCCAUGGAUGCUCCAUGGAGGUUAAAAUCCAUGGAGCAUAAGGAAUGAGUAAAGUCAUGAGUUACAUGGUGUAACCCUAAUAGCCACCAUAUAAAAGAAUCCCAUGGCUCAAGAAAUCUUGCACUAUGUGUGAAUGUGAGGGUUAAACAAUUUCAUGGAGUGUUCAAGUUUCUCUCAAGUUAUUCCAAGUGUAUUUGGUGUUGUGUGAACCAUUUUAGGUGUCACACUUGGGGCACUAGGCACUCAAGCUUCAUGAAGGCUUUCUACAUCAAUGAGGUAUGUAUUCUAUCUUGUUAUAUUCAUUGUUUUGUAUGCUAGAUUAGGAUAAUACCUUGGAAAGUUCUUAUUUGCAUGUAUAAUAAAGAAAACAUAGAUCCAAGGUAUUUAGGGUUGCAUGUACACUUAGGAGUGUUAGAAUGCUGAAAACCCAACACUUACCUCGUUGCAUCAGGACACAUCCGAGCUCCUGGUUUGAUGCAUUGCAGUAUUCCACGAAAGCUUCUGUUCCUUCGGGAAUGGAUAAUACCGGUGCGGUGCAUAGGGCUCACUUCAAGUUUUGUAAUGCCUUCUCGUAUUUGUCUUCCCAGUCAAAUGUCACGCCUUUCUGAGUCAAUGUGGUGAGAGGUUUCACAAUCCGAGAGAAGUUCUGAAUGAAUCUGCGGUAGUAGCCAGGGAGGCCUAGAAAUUAACGAAUUUAUGUAGGUGUCUUCGGUGCUGACCAAUUCUCGAUACCUUUAAUCUUGGAUGGGUCCACGUAGAUUCCUUCCUCACUAACCACGUGUCCUAAGAAUUCGAAUCUUCGGAUCCAAAAUUCGCAAUUAGAGAUCUUCGCGUAUAACUUCUACGAUCGUAGGGUCUCUAGGACUCGUCGUAGAUGAUCGCAAUAAUAGUUUUAGACUUAUCCAAGUGGGAGACUGUUGGAUUAAUGUCUAAUUCCAUAACUAUAAUUGGUAAGACUUGACCCGACCCGGCAUGGUCCAUUUGGGUUGCAUGGCAUCAUGCAUUUGGAUAGACUAUAAUGAGAGAAAUAACACUUAAGGUUUGUUAAUAUAUUAUAAGUUCUAAUAUAUUAAUAAGGUUAUUUAAUUAGUAUUGAUCAAGAAUUAAUUUGGAAUUAAUUAAGUGAUCAAAAGGAGACUAAUUAAAUAUAUGGGUUGAUUGUGUAAAUCAUUCAUUCUUAUAUAUGUGGGCUUGUGAUCCAAGAUUCCUUAUGUUGGACUAAGUCCAUGGGGUGACUCAUGGAUGCUCCAUGGAGGUUAAGGAAUGGGUAAAGUCAUGAGUUACAUGGUGUAACCCUAAUAGCCACCAUAUAAAAGAAUCGCAUGGCUCAAGAAAUCUUGCACUAUGUGUGAAUGUGAGGGCUAAACGAUUCAUGGAGUGGUCAAGUUUCUCUCAAGUUAUUCCAAAUGUAUUUGGUGUUGUGUGAACCAUUUGAGGUGUCACACUUGGGGCACUAGGCACUCAAGCUUCAUGAAGACAAUCUACAUCAAAGAGGUAUGUAAUUCUAACUUGAUAUAUUCAUUUGAAUCAAUGUUAUUAUGCUAGUUAGGAUGAAUACCUUGGAAAGUUCAUAUUUGCAUGUAUAAUAGAGAAAACAUAGAUCCAAGGUAUUUAGGGUUGCAUGUACACUUAGGAGUGUUAGAAUGCUCAAAACCCAACAGUGGUAUCAGAGCCUAGGCUUGUUUUCUUGUUAUACUUGCAAAAUUGGCUGAAAAAUUGAGUUUUUAUGCUGUUUGCUCAGCAGACUCGCCGAGUCCAAGGCAAAAUGCAUCCAACUCGCCGAGUUUGUUCGUGCACUCGACGAUUUGGACCCCCAGACAAAAUAUAUUCGAUUGUUUUGGCUGGAAUUGGACUAGGAACAUUAACCUAAGAUGUUUUUGGACUUAUAAACUUGUUUUUGAUGUGGUAAUGUUCAUGCUAAUCCAAUUUCAAAGAUAAUUGUCAAUAGAUUCAUGUUUUGUAUUAGUUUAAAGUUUAGACUAAUUACAUGAAAAAGUUUGAUUUGAAUUAUGUUGUUCUUAUGAGUUGCUUAGAUUAAUAGGAAAUUUAAUUGAUUAUGUGUUUUGAAUCCAAAUUAAUCUAAGAGUUGAUUCUAAAAUGUGUUUUUGUAACUUGUCCUCAAGUUAUAUGAAAAGGCACAUUGAUUAAGGGUACCAAGUAUAUUUGCAUGGUUACUUCACACCUUGUUUUAUGCUCCUCGGCAUCCCAGUCACAAAACCUGAAAGGCACCCUCGAGAUUUAAACAUGCCAUUGAACAGUUCAAUGAAUCUUAAAAGAUCUAGGAGUUUCAAAUCCAAUUAAAACCUAAUAAUACAUUUCAUUUAUCUUGGGGGAAAUUGGUGAAUUGUCAUUCACCUACCUUCAAAUAUUUUAUAGCUUGGAUUACGACAUCCCUUUUCUAAGUUAUAAAAUAGUUUGUUGGGUCCUAGCCUUAAUAUUUCAUAUUGGGUGUCAUAUUAAGGACUUUAAAUCA
rnacentral:lncRNA from 1 species